rnacentral:tRNA from 1 species
UUUUGAGUAGUUUAAGAUUAAGAUUUAAUAUUGUGAUUAUUAAGAUGGAAAUUAUUUAUAUUGUUAUAUUUUCCUCAAAAA